AGUCGUGUUACAAGCACAUAGCGAUUCUUUUGCCUUUUACUAAAGAAUACCGUGUGCUUGUCACUUUAAGCGGCAUACACUUAUUUUUGUAAAGGGUUUUCUUUUUAAGAGAACU